AAGCAGAAAUACUGAUAAAUAUGUUUAAAUUACAGACAUAAAAACAGCGGUCGGUUAAAAUGCUAAAUUUAACUUAAAUGUACACGUCUAUUUUACGUAGCGUCACUUUUUCUCAGUGAAUGACGUCUUUCUCCAUUCAUCACUCUUACCUUGACAAAAAGUUCAACUCGGGGAUGGUUUGCGUCGCUCAUCUUUGCUCAAAACAUCCAAGGAUCUGUUCAAAAAAUAAAGGUCGGUCGGUCCUCCGUGCUGGUGGUACUCGUCCCCGCGGCGCCUCGGUUUCCUGCAGCCGCUGACGAGGCGCUGCGAGCAGCUCUCAGCCAAUGGCGCCCGCGGAGAGGCGGAGGGGAGAGGCCGAGGAGGGUGACUUCGAAAAAUGAGCAACGCCAUGAGGAUGAAGAGGAGAGAAAUACACGCCUUUUACGAUUCAAAGACUGCAACUGGAAUGGUGCAACUAUGAUUUCUAAAACCUGUCACUUUAUAACACCUGUCAUGCUAUAUAACACCUGUCGCUCUAUAUAACACCUGUCACCUUAUAUAACACCUGUCGCCCUAUGUAACACCUGUCGCUCUAUAACAUUUGUCACUGUAUAACACUUGUCACUCUAUAACAUCUGUCAUUCUAUAUAUCACCCAUCGCCCUAUAGCUCCUUCAAAACUCUGCAGCACGACUGCUGACAAGAACCAGGAAGCGAGAGCAUA